rnacentral:rRNA from 1 species
UACGAGGGGGGCGAGCGUUGUUCGGAAUUAUUGGGCGUAAAGAGCUCGUAGGCGGCUCGUCACGUCGGCUGUGAAAACCCGGGGCUCAACCCCGGGCCUGCAGUCGAUACGGGCGAGCUAGAGUUCGGCAGGGGAGACUGGAAUUCCUGGUGUAGCGGUGAAAUGCGCAGAUAUCAGGAGGAACACCGGUGGCGAAGGCGGGUCUCUGGGCCGAUACUGACGCUGAGGAGCGAAAGCGUGGGGAGCGAACAGG